rnacentral:misc_RNA from 1 species
GAUGAAGAACGUAGCGAAAUGCGAUAAGUAAUGUGAAUUGCAGAAUUCAGUGAAUCAUCGAAUCUUUGAACGCACAUUGCGCCCGCCAGUAUUCUGGCGGGCAUGCCUGUCCGAGCGUCAUUUCAACCAUCAAGCCCCCGGGCUUGUGUUGGGGACCUGCGGCUGCCCGCAGGCCCUGAAAACCAGUGGCGGGCUCGCUGUCACACCGAGCGUAGUAGCAAUCACCUCGCUCAGGGCGUGCUGCGGGUUCCGGCCGUUAAACAGCCUUACAAAACCCAAGGUUGACCUCGGAUCAGGUAGGAAGACCCGCUGAACUUAAGCAUAUCAUAAGCGGAGGA